AGUGAACGCUGGCGGUAGGCCUAACACAUGCAAGUCGAACGGCAGCACAGUACGAGCUUGCUCUUACGGGUGGCGAGUGGCGGACGGGUGACGUAUACAUCGUAAUCUACUCUUUCGUGGGGCAUCACGUAGGUAAACUUACUCUAAUAUCGCAUACGACCUUCCGUUGAAAGCAGGGGAUCUUCUCACCUUGCGCGAUUGAACUCGCCGAUGUCGGAUUAGCUAGUUGGCGGGGUAAAGGCCCACCAAGUCGACGAUCCGUUGCCGGUGUGAGAGGAUGAUAGGCCACACUGGAAGUGGGACACGGUCAAGACGCCUGAGGGAGGGAGCAGUGGGGAAUGUUGGGCAAUGGGCGCGAGCAUGACCCAGCCAUACCGCGUGGGUGAAGAAGGCGUUCGGGUUGGAAAGACCGUUUGUUGGGAAAGAAAAGCAGCAGGUUAAGACGCAGCUGUUCUGACGGUAACGAAUGAAGAAGCACCGGCUAACUUCGUG
rnacentral:rRNA from 1 species